AGAUUAAAUUGUUUAAAUCAAAGCUUCUAACUUUGAAUUUGAGGGGUUUAAAUCCCUUCUUAAUCUA
rnacentral:tRNA from 1 species